rnacentral:lncRNA from 1 species
UGAAUGGCAGCAUUGUUUUGAUAAUAAUAAUAAUGAAAAGGCAGUACUCGAGCCGGCCCAACGUUUGGUCCGGUCUUACGCUAGCCACCCGAUCUAUUCAUCAUUAGCCAUUGGAUUUGGCCCUAUCUGUGUUGUCUUCCUCGCGAGAAAAAAACAAGGGGAUUCACAAGCUCCCCCACGUGCACACCUCCACUCCCUCUCCUUGUCGUCGUUGUGGCCGUGCCCGACAAGCUCCGGUGAGGUCGUGCCCCCGUGACCGUGCCCGAUGAGCUCUAGUGAGGUCCCGCCCUCGGGGCCGUCUGGAUUGCAUCAGGACCACCAUUGGUUCCAGCACGAUUCACCAUGAAUGCAACUCUAAAAAUAAAUCAGAUUGAUCAGAUUCAGUGUGCGGGCGCCAUUAUUGUAGCAUCGUAGGGUAACCCCGCCUCCGGCUCGCCACAGUUGUCGGUUUGCACCAUCACGUCCCGCCUCCGGCUCGCCACAGUUGUCGGUUUGCACCAUCACGUCCAGUCAAAAACAGAUCUAAAAAAGGCACAAAUUCUCAGUCUUCGGUUGAAACAAAAUCAUUAUAAGGUUCCAGGAAAACUAGACAUUGGUUCCAGCAAAAAAUUAACCUCAGCAGGGAGAACUUCAAUGGUUGAUUGUAGCAACCAAAAUUGCUAGUUCCGGCAAAAAUAAACACUAUUUCCAGCAAAAAAAGCUCAACAAGAAGACUCUCAAUGGUUCGAUUGUAGCAAACAAAAGAAUGAUUGUAUCAAAAAGAAAAGCUAGUUUCAGCAAAAACAUAUACCGGUUCCAGCAAAAACUCCAUCGUCGACGGCGAGGGCGCAUCUGGAUGCAGCAAAUCGCGUGGCCGAUGGCAAAAAAAACUGAUGACGGUUCCAGUAAAAUGGAUGGCCGGUUGCAGCAAAAAGGUAGCCCGCAACACGCCGUCCGUCUCCACGGCGCGAAGACUUUCGCGGGUUGAAGCAGCGGGGGGCACCGGUUCUAGCUCUGGGAUGCUCGAUUGCAGCAAAACAGGGAGCCCGUUCCUGCUCACCACCGCUUCCAGCACCAGCGGCCCCUUGCCGCAGGUUUGCCGACACGGACAGAGCAACUCCAAAAUGGUCAGUUCCAGCAAAUUCCAUCACCGGUUCCAGCAAAACUUGUCGCUGGUUCCAGCAAAAUUCGACAAAUGUCGAAGCAAAAAUCACCACUUACGCAGGGUCUCCGGCAAAUUUAGAAACCGGUUCCAGCAAAUUUCAUCGCCGGUUCCAACAAAAAUUGUCGCUAGUUCCAGCAAAUAUGUCACGACAAAAUAUCAGCACCUAUGCGAGAUCCCCAGCAAAAUCAGACACCAGUUCCAGCAAAAAUCAUUGCCGGUCCCAGCAAAAAUUUGGCCGGUUGAAGCAGCGGUAUGGCAUGGGCGUAAAAAGAGAGCGCGCCCCGUCUUCCUUGCCGCAACCCACAGCCACCGGUGCCCCUUGCUUGCAGCAACACCCUGUGGUGGGCAUUCCGGCAAGGCGGAAUCGCUACCAGCCCCAUGCAUCGAUCGUCGGGCCAUGGGGGAGUGUGUGACGUCCUCUGUAGAUGCAACAGCUAGAGAAAACUUCAAAGCAGGGAAGGGGGAGAGAUGCUCACAUCAGUGGGGGAGGGAGGUCUCGUGGCUGUAGGCGGUCGGAUCCUUUAACGACGGUGAGCUCCAAAUGCGGUGGUGAGGGGACAGGCACUCGGCGCCAUGGCCAAAAUAGAAAAAAGAAGAGAGCAGCGGAGGAGAAAAAGGAUGCGAGGCCAAGCGAAGGAGAUAAGGGUCCGCAUGGGCCUAGCUUGGCAUGUGGACGCUGUUCGCGUGGUUCCUACACGUGGC